rnacentral:rRNA from 1 species
UACGUAGGGGGCAAGCGUUGUCCGGAUUUAUUGGGCGUAAAGAGUGUGUAGGCGGCCUGGAAGGUCAGCUGUGAAAACUCGAGGCUCAACCUCGAGACGUCGGUUGAAACCACCUGGCUAGAGUCCGGAAGAGGAGAGUGGAAUUCCCGGUGUAGCGGUGAAAUGCGCAGAUAUCGGGAAGAACACCCGUGGCGAAGGCGGCUCUCUGGGACGGUACUGACGCUGAGACGCGAAAGCGUGGGGAGCGAACAGG